CCAGGCUGGAGUGCAUUUGCAUGUGUCAGCUCCCUGCAAUCUCCAACUACUGGGUUCAAGCAAUUCUCGUACCUCAGCCUCCCAAGUAGCAGGGACCACAGACAUGCAC